CUGGGUAUUCGGACGGCUGUCCUCCACAAUUCUUAUUCCCUCCCAGAUGUGGCACGAAUUGCAUGUUUUUUUUGGCAUCCAGCCUGAUUUUGGCUCAUGC